GAUCCUGGCUCAGGAUGAACGCUAGCUACAGGCUUAACACAUGCAAGUCGAGGGGAAACGACAUCGAAAGCUUGCUUUUGAUGGGCGUCGACCGGCGCACGGGUGAGUAACGCGUAUCCAACCUGCCCAUCACUUGGGAAUAACCUUGCGAAAGUAAGACUAAUACCCAAUGAUAUCCCACGAAGGCAUCCGAAAGAGAUUAAAGAUUUAUCGGUGAUGGACGGGGAUGCGUCUGAUUAG
rnacentral:rRNA from 1 species